rnacentral:rRNA from 1 species
UACAGAGGGGGCAAGCGUUGUUCGGAAUUACUGGGCGUAAAGGGCGCGUAGGCGGCCCGCUAAGUCGAACGUGAAAUCCCCGGGCUCAACCCGGGAACUGCGUCCGAUACUGGCGGGCUUGAAUCCGGGAGAGGGAUGCGGAAUUCCAGGUGUAGCGGUGAAAUGCGUAGAUACCAGGAGGAACACCGGUGGCGAAGGCGGUUUCCUGGCCCAGUACUGACGCUGAGGCACGAAAGCGUGGGGAGCGAACGGG